CAGUCGCCACGGGAAUACAGAGGGUGCGAGCGUUAAUCGGAUUUACUGGGCGUAAAGCGUGCGUAGGCGGCUUUUUAAGUCGGAUGUGAAAUCCCUGAGCUUAACUUAGGAAUUGCAUUCGAUACUGGGAAGCUAGAGUAUGGGAGAGGAUGGUAGAAUUCCAGGUGUAGCGGUGAAAUGCGUAGAGAUCUGGAGGAAUACCGAUGGCGAAGGCAGCCAUCUGGCCUAAUACUGACGCUGAGGUACGAAAGCAUGGGGAGCAAACAGGAUUAGAUACCCCAGUAGUCCCUGUCUCUUAACA
rnacentral:rRNA from 1 species